GUCCCUUUGGGGACUCCAAUAAAAUUUGAACGAUAUAGAGAAGAUUAGCAUGGGCCCUAUGCAAGGAUGACAUGCACAAAUUGAGAAAUAGUCCAACUUUUA